rnacentral:rRNA from 1 species
UACGUAGGGGGCUAGCGUUGUCCGGAAUCAUUGGGCGUAAAGAGCGUGUAGGCGGCCCGGUAAGUCCGCUGUGAAAGUCGGGGGCUCAACCCUCGAAUGCCGGUGGAUACUGUCGGGCUAGAGUGCGGAAGAGGCGAGUGGAAUUCCUGGUGUAGCGGUGAAAUGCGCAGAUAUUAGGAGGAACACCGGUGGCGAAGGCGCCGCUCUGGGCCGAAACUGAACGCUGAGGAGCGAAAGCAUGGGUAGCAAAC